rnacentral:lncRNA from 12 species
UUGGGGGUGGGGGGACUUCCCUGGACGGUCGCUCACCGGCCUGUCUCCCUUCCCGCCACGUAUCAGGAGGGACGUCUCUCCACGCGCCCCUCUCCCCGCGGGCGGCCCCGUCUCUUCUCCCGCGGGCGGCCCCGCAUUCUGUGUGCCCUGUGCACGAGGAGGCUGCCUCCCGGAGCCCGGGGACGGAUGCCACGGCCUGGCCGGCGCUGCUGCGGCUCUGGUGCCCCCUCCCAGCAGGCGCCCCUUACACCCUGAUGCCCCCCAGUACCCCGAGGCCCCCGGCAUCCCGAGUCGCCCACCCCCCGCACCCGAGGGCUUGCACAGGCACCGGUCCCCCCCGCCUGGCGCCCUGCUACGGAAGGACGUGUCCGUGAUGCCCCCGCGUGUCCACAGAGCGCACACCUCUACCUGUGUCCCCGCCGCCCCGCAGCCUGGUGUGCCGGAGAGCUCCGGGGCGGCUGCAGUGUCACGUCGCAGGGGGCCUCGGGGUGCCAGGGGGCCUCGGGGUGUAAGGGGGGGAGCCCCGCACGACCUGGUGCAGGUGUGUCGGAGAGCUCCGGGGCGGCUGCCAGAAGCGCUUCCCGCGGGUGGAGCCGUGUCCUCGCGUCCCGUGGGUUCACAGCGGUGGUCAGGAAUAAAUAGGAGCAACGCGGGUGGCAGGAGAGUGUGUGCUGGAAGCAGCAGGGGCCGCCAAGGGACAUCCAGGCAGAGCACUGGAGAAGGGCGGGCACACUUGCCAUCGGAAGUGGCCAGAGGUGGGAGUCCUCUCCCUCCCCAGCUCACCAACCAUCACGACGGUCCUUCCAAACCCGACAGACAUGGAAAACUGAAGUGCAGGGAGGUUAAAGACAGCCCAGGAUCACACAGCUCCCGAGUCACCCCGGCUCCGAAGGUCCAGUAACACCUGCCCGAGUGGAAGGGCGCUGGGAAGAGUAACGAGCCCUAAUAACGAGCAGGAAUGGGGAGCAGGGAGCAGCUGCUUUCGCGGAGAUCAGUUUUACUCAUUACUCAGGUUCCCCUAAGGCCUGGCCGUGAAACACCUCUUCCUCCUGAGACACCUGCCUUGGCUCCCAGGCCCUGGCGCUUGCUCGUGGGAGCCUGCUCAAAACAACGUGGGGACGGGCCUGGAAAAUGAGACACGCGACAGGAGGAUGUGGGGAGGGAGGAGCCCAAGGGCAGAUAUCGAGGAACAUAAAUGCCCCGAGAGAGAAGAGAGUCUGGCAUGUUCUGGUCUCCGCCUGGGGUCCCGUUUAGCUCCAUUCGCAGAGACCCUGUCCGUGCUGUUCCCACACCCCUAGACCUCAGAACCGAGAGGGACUGACACAAAGAGAGGGCUUCGUAGCCAUGCUUGCACGAAUGCAUGAAAACCAGCAUGAAUGGGGACACCUAGUGGGGCUCAGCGGUUUAGUGCCACCUUCGGCCCAGAGUGUGACCCUGGGGUCCCGGGAUCGAGUCCCUCAUCGGGCUCCCUGCAUGGAGCCUGCUUCUCCCUCUGCCUGUGUCUCUGCCUCUCUCUCUCUGUGUCUCUCAUGAAUAAAUAAACAAAAUCUUAAAAAAAAAAAAAACCC